CAACCUGCCCACCACUUGGGGAUAACCUUGCGAAAGUAAGACUAAUACCCAAUGACGUCUCUAGAAGACAUCUGAAAGAGAUUAAAGAUUUAUCGGUGAUGGAUGGGGAUGCGUCUGAUUAGCUUGUUGGCGGGGUAACGGCCCACCAAGGCAACGAUCAGUAGGGGUUCUGAGAGGAAGGUCCCCCACAUUGGAACUGAGACACGGUCCAAACUCCUACGGGAGGCAGCAGUGAGGAAUAUUGGUCAAUGGACGAGAGUCUGAACCAGCCAAGUAGCGUGCAGGAAGACGGCCCUAUGGGUUGUAAACUGCUUUUAUAAGGGAAUAAAGUGAGCCUCGUGAGGCUUUUUGCAUGUACCUUAUGAAUAAGGACCGGCUAAUUCCGUGCCAGCAGCCGCGGUAAUACGGAAGGUCCGGGCGUUAUCCGGAUUUAUUGGGUUUAAAGGGAGCGUAGGCCGGAGGUUAAGCGUGUUGUGAAAUGUAGACGCUCAACGUCUGCACUGCAGCGCGAACUGGUUUCCUUGAGUACGCACAAAGUGGGUGGAAUUCGUGGUGUAGCGGUGAAAUGCUUAGAUAUCACGAAGAACUCCGAUUG
rnacentral:rRNA from 1 species